UACGGAGGAUUCAAGCGUUAUCCGGAUUUAUUGGGUUUAAAGGGUGCGCAGGCGGAAUGUCAAGUCAGCGGUAAAAUUUCGGGGCUCAACCUCGUCGUGCCGUUGAAACUGACACCCUUGAGUGAGUGAGAAGUAAGCGGAAUGCGUGGUGUAGCGGUGAAAUGCAUAGAUAUCACGCAGAACGCCGAUUGCGAAGGCAGCUUACCGGCGCUCAACUGACGCUGAGGCACGAAAGCGUGGGGAUCGAACAGG
rnacentral:rRNA from 1 species